rnacentral:rRNA from 1 species
CUUUCUUGGAGAGUUUGAUCCUGGCUCAGGACGAACGCUGGCGGCGUGCCUAAUACAUGCAAGUCGAGCGGACUUGAUGGAGAGCUUGCUCUC